rnacentral:rRNA from 1 species
AACCUCCGCAAUGUACGAAAGUGCGACGGGGGGAUCCCAAGUGUUAUGCUUUUUUGUAUAGCUUUUCAUUAGUGUAAAAAGCUUUUAGAAUAAGAGCUGGGCAAGACCGGUGCCAGCCGCCGCGGUAACACCGGCAGCUCGAGUGGUAGCUGUUUUUAUUGGGCCUAAAGCGUUCGUAGCCGGUUUGAUAAGUCUUUGGUGAAAGCUUGUAGCUUAACUAUAAGAAUUGCUGGAGAUACUAUCAGACUUGAAGUCGGGAGAGGUUAGAGGUACUACCGGGGUAGGGGUGAAAUCCUAUAAUCCUGGGAGGACCACCUGUGGCGAAGGCGUCUAACUGGAACGAUCUUGACGGUGAGUAACGAAAGCCAGGGGCGCGAACCGGAUUAGAUACCCGGGUAGUCCUGGCCGUAAACGAUGUGGACUUGGUGUUGGAAUGGCUUUGAGUUGUUCCGGUGCCGAAGGGAAGCUGUUAAGUCCACCGCCUGGGAAGUACGGUCGCAAGACUGAAGCUUAAAGGAAUU